rnacentral:rRNA from 1 species
GACGAACGCUGGCGGCGUGCCUAAUACAUGCAAGUAGAACGCUGAAGAGAGGAGCUUGCUCUUCUUGGAUGAGUUGCGAACGGGUGAGUAACGCGUAGGUAACCUGCCUUGUAGCGGGGGAUAACUAUUGGAAACGAUAGCUAAUACCGCAUAACAAUGGAUGACACAUGUCAUUUAUUUGAAAGGGGCAAAUGCUCCACUACAAGAUGGACCUGCGUUGUAUUAGCUAGUAGGUGAGGUAACGGCUCACCUAGGCGACGAUACAUAGCCGACCUGAGAGGGUGAUCGGCCACACUGGGACUGAGACACGGCCCAGACUCCUACGGGAGGCAGCAGUAGGGAAUCUUCGGCAAUGGGGGCAACCCUGACCGAGCAACGCCGCGUGAGUGAAGAAGGUUUUCGGAUCGUANAGCUCUGUUGUAAGUCAAGAACGAGUGUGAGAGUGGAAAGUUCACACUGUGACGGUAGCUUACCAGAAAGGGACGGCUAACUACGUGCCAGCAGCCGCGGUAAUACGUAGGUCCCGAGCGUUGUCCNGGAUUUAUUGGGCGUAAAGCGAGCGCAGGCGGUUUGAUAAGUCUGAAGUUAAGGCUGUGGCUCAACCAUAGUUCGCUUUGGAAACUGUCAAACUUGAGUGCAGAAGGGGAGAGUGGAAUUCCAUGUGUAGCGGUGAAAUGCGUAGAUAUAUGGAGGAACACCGGUGGCGAAAGCGGCUCUCUGGUCUGUAACUGACGCUGAGGCUCGAAAGCGUGGGGAGCGAACAGGAUUAGAUACCCUGGUAGUCCACGCCGUAAACGAUGAGUGCUAGGUGUUGGAUCCUUUCCGGGAUUCAGUGCCGCAGCUAACGCAUUAAGCACUCCGCCUGGGGAGUACGACCGCAAGGUUGAAACUCAAAGGAAUUGACGGGGGCCCGCACAAGCGGUGGAGCAUGUGGUUUAAUUCGAAGCAACGCGAAGAACCUUACCAGGUCUUGACAUCCCGAUGCUAUUUCUAGAGAUAGAAAGUUACUUCGGUACAUCGGUGACAGGUGGUGCAUGGUUGUCGUCAGCUCGUGUCGUGAGAUGUUGGGUUAAGUCCCGCAACGAGCGCAACCCCUAUUGUUAGUUGCCAUCAUUCAGUUGGGCACUCUAGCGAGACUGCCGGUAAUAAACCGGAGGAAGGUGGGGAUGACGUCAAAUCAUCAUGCCCCUUAUGACCUGGGCUACACACGUGCUACAAUGGUUGGUACAACGAGUUGCGAGUCGGUGACGGCAAGCUAAUCUCUUAAAGCCAAUCUCAGUUCGGAUUGUAGGCUGCAACUCGCCUACAUGAAGUCGGAAUCGCUAGUAAUCGCGGAUCAGCACGCCGCGGUGAAUACGUUCCCGGGCCU